AGACGCGGCGCUGUAUAAAGGGGGGCGGGGCGCGGCCCUCCGUCUCUCUCUCCGCCGCGGGGCCGCCAUGGACACGAGCCGCGUGCAGCCCAUCAAGCUCGCCCGGGUGACCAAGGUGCUGGGCCGGACCGGCUCGCAGGGGCAGUGCACGCAGGUGACGAAAGCCUUAUUGCAUUUGCUCAGAGCUGCUCGUUGACAUCUGCUCUGCCGGACAUGGAUCACAGAAGAAGAAGAAGAUGGCGUUUUGAGUUAAUACAAUAAAAUCUGGGUUUUUUUUUUCCAGUA